rnacentral:rRNA from 1 species
ACGGAGGGAGCUAGCGUUGUUCGGAAUUACUGGGCGUAAAGCGCGCGUAGGCGGCUUUUUAAGUCAGGGGUGAAAUCCCGGAGCUCAACUCCGGAACUGCCCUUGAAACUGGGAAGCUAGAAUAUUGGAGAGGUAAGUGGAAUUCCGAGUGUAGAGGUGAAAUUCGUAGAUAUUCGGAAGAACACCAGUGGCGAAGGCGACUUACUGGACAAUUAUUGACGCUGAGGUGCGAAAGCGUGGGGAGCAAACAGG